AACAAUGCCGCUUUGUUCGUACCGCGCCGACGCCGACUUAAAGCCGGUGUUUUCUACUGAUACAGAAUAAAUUUAUCCAUUGGUCGGCGACAUAGUUGACCGGCCGACUACAACAGUGACCUCUAGAGUCACGUGAUCCGUGAAAUUCCUAAUAACCUAUAUAUAUAUAUAUAAAUAAAAAUUUACGUCCUCUACUACGAAUAACAAAAUAUUUGAAAUUUCAUGGCACAAGAAAACAAAGUUUCAAAUUACAAGAAGAAGAAAAUUAUAAUCUCAAUUUUCAAUUUCACGUUCAUCCCUGUUUAAAAUAUCUUCGAUGUUUCUUCUAACCAUCAACGUAGGUGGUAGAACAACAAGGAAAGAUCAAAGCUGUAGGUGAUCCUAUCUGCCGGCGGCUUUAGAAGCACAAUUAAUCUCUUUCGGUGCGCGUGAAGGGAAACGCCGACGAGUAACGUGAAAGGUCGAGAGUUCCCCGCCAGCCAGUGACCCUGCGGUAUUUUUCUUUUUGAAAUAACUUUAAAACACAAAUAUAAGUUUUUCCCACAUGAUUAAAUGAUGUCAUAAGGAGACAUCGAAGACGAUAAGCAAAAGAAGCGUGAAAUUCCAAUUAGAGGCACUGAAGUGUGCAAAAAUAUGUCACCAAGUCACUGAUGCGCCCUUCAUCAUGGACGAUAUAAGAACCGGGCGCGAGGCGACAGAAAUAUGUAUUGCUAGUCGAUCGUAGCAGGCCGUGCCGAACAGUUCCAGCGCAGCGCAAGAACGGGAAUGUUAAUGCCGCAUCAAGAGUUAUGAUAAAUGGUGUGAUUUUGCAAGGGGCGCGCGAAGAAAUAUGUUACUGUCGCUCCACAGACGUAGAAGAAAUAGCUCUUAAUAGUGUAGAGACGUGGUUUGAUCGGUACGCAAUGUGUACGAUUCUAUAUUAAUAACAUGGACAUAAAAAAUUAAAGAGAAUUACAGAAGAAGAGUCAUCGACCGUUGAAUGUUAUUCCUUAAGACAGUAGAGAUGACUAACCUCCGUGUCCAUUAUUACCUGUGUACUUAUUUAAAUAAUUUUCCUAGCCGUUAUCAAACAAUGAGAAGAUCAUGGUAGAACAGAACGAGAAAACCACGGACACUAUCGAAGUGUAAAGAGCUCUCGAAGACAGAAGAGGUAGAAGUAUGGAACGAGACGAAAGAGGGAAGAGCGAUACAGGGGAAGUGCAGGGAGCAACACGAAGAUGCGUUUGAAGAGCAAGCGGCCGAAACAGAAGAGGGGCGAGGAAGGGGGCGCGGGUGAUAGGGGAGAGUUGUUCGGUGUGCUGCCACACUCAGAAUGGAGUCGAGUGCCAGAGAGUCGGUUGUCCGUGUAUUUCAGGCGGCACGGGCCACUGCACUACCCCUACUACUUGUCGCGCCGACACUCUGUUCUGGAAUACUCGGCAGACACUAACGUAUGUCCUCGGAAUCCGCUUUUGAGCUUGCUAUGAGGAACAAAGAAAAGGAAAAAGGAAGAAAGAUGGAAGGAACGAGUAACGUGCUACACCGUAAAAUUAUUUCCAGCGAAGCGCCGAUCAUGAUAACUGAUAAGGUUUGGGGAAUGCAGCGGGAGAAGAAAACGACACCGAUCUAGAAUCUACUUUUCUGUUAUAUAUACGUCAACUGUUGGUAGUUGCUACUCGCGAAGGCACCAUUAACCCUUUCAGUGGACGCAAUAGAGUGGUUACAUUUCCGGAAUGCCGAGGCUGUCUAUCUUACCACGGAAUUAUUCCCGAAUUACUUUCACAAUUUAUAUACAUAAUAAUUCUAAUAACAACCUCGUUCCUCUCUCUUCGCUAAUAAAAAAGGAAUGCGAUAUAAUUAGGAUGAAUUUUCAAUUAUUCAUUUUAUAUAAAACAAUAUCUAAUCUUGGGAACAAGUUGCAACAGUGUGCACCUUAAUUGACGUCAUUCUGAGCAUACGCACGCGAGCAGAAGCAGCCUCGAAUUAUAAGAUAGAUAGUAAAUGUUAUAAACACAAUUCAGGAUUCAAAUUGAGUAAUUUAAUUAACGAAGAACCGGUGAUUGUAUUCUGUUAAUGAUUUCACGAAUGCUUCAGAUCUGAAUCAUCCGAACUCGUUCGUAGGUCGAUCAGAGUGUGAACGCGCGACGAUAAAUGCAGGCCAAUCGCGGUUGAAAUUGAGCGAUUCAAUUAAUGAGGAGCCGUGGAAAGAGCAGGAGCAAGGUCUACGAAGAAAAAGCUAACCGGACGGCGGAAGGAAUAAAUAGCACGGCAAGGAAAGCAAAACGAAGCGAUAGAACGCCUGCCAGAUGUACAAAUCAAACGUGCGAUCGGGAAUUCUUCGUAAUUUCUUGCAAACGCGAAGCCAGUUUCGUGACUCGAAAAUUACUCGGUCGACGUUGCUUCAUGUUCUCUUCCCUGAAAUUAAACGCGCCUCGCACGUCAUUAACGUUCUCUUGCAUAAUCAGAAUUAAUUAUCGAUUAUUUGCCAAUUUUGAGCCAAAGUCUUGUCUUUAAUUAUAACAUCUGCUCUAUGGUAAUCGAAAUGCACUAUUUUAUAUCAUAAAUAAUCUGUAUUUAAAAAGUUCAUUAAGACCAGUGUCUUUUGAACUUAGAAGUUGUACAAUGCCUUCUCUAAAGUAAUCUAUCCUAACCUCAAUCAGCUCUUUCACUCUCUGGAGUUGUGCAUAAGCAACACUAUAAUUUAAAAUAUUAUUAGCUAGUAAAACAAUAAAUGUAUAUAUUUAUGGUAAAACUGACGCCAAUUUUACUGCAUUAUAUAUUCUUUGUAAAAAGAUCAGAAGAGAAGUAUUUCUGUUGAUACAUUAGUAAAAGGAUUACCAACGUCGACUGGGACUUCGAUUACCAACAUCUUAAUUUCAAUCAUUAAUUACAAUCUAAACUAUCAAAAACAAGAUUCGAACUUUAUUAUAUGUACCAUAAAGGCACCUUGCCACGCCUUUAAAAUAAUACACAAGAACAAAAGAAAAGUAGGUUAGGAAGUAUGAAACGUAAAAUGUCUGCAUGCGUCAGAACUGACCUAACCUCCAACGCCUGAAGAUUAACAACAUCUGACUAAAACUUCAAUUGUAUCAAUAUUUUCAUUUCAAUUAAUUUCAAUAAAUUACGAUUCCAGAGCUAAGAAGAAUUAAAAUCAAGAUUGUAGCGUUUCCAUGUUUAGCAUAAAGAUACCGCAACCCCUGUAGAGGGUCCCCGUCGGGAUUCAAUCGUGUGUGCCAUCACGUCGUGUACGUGCGCAGCGAAAAAUUCAAAGACGCGGCACUCGGUCAUUCACGCGACGGCACCACGACCGAGUCGAGGCAGAAAAGGAACGCGUCACGCAGGAGGCGGGAAAUAGAGAAGUCACGAGCAGACAGAGAAAGAAGAGAGAGGCAGAGGCGCAGUUAGAAAGAGAUGCCUCGACGACUCUUGGCCUCCCAGAUGCGUAAAAGCGGGGCGCCGACUCGGGAUUCCUCAUAAUUUCUUCCCCGUUGGGACGCAAACCGGCCUCGUCACUCAUCGCGCUUUAAAGUCACUGUUAAUACAUACUCGCCUUCUCCUUUCCUCCGCGCACAUCUGUCGCGCCACAGUUAAAUAACUCGAAUGAUCGCGAAGGAUUUAGCCGUCACGCGUUCCUCUCUCUUUAUAGCGACUGUAAGAGGGCGCGCGCGCGCACACACACGAGAGACCACGAGUCAAGCGAACCAGGCGCGAUGCAUCGUCGCUGUGUGCAAAAAGUCGGAAAGACGAACGGAUCGUUACUU